UGCCCAGCAACUCCUAUCCCUACCUUAUCGCGAUACCGGCCGGAAACUAUGAGCAACCUUAGGAAAGAUUGGGUAACCAACUCCGGUGGGAACUUUGGUCGUAGGCUGACAGGGAAGG
rnacentral:ribozyme from 1 species